rnacentral:rRNA from 1 species
CAGGCCUAACACAUGCAAGUCGAACGGGGUMUAUGAAAUGAAGUUUUCGGAUGGAUUUUUGUAUACUUAGUGGCGGACGGGUGAGUAACGCGUGGGCAACCUGCCUUACACAGGGGGACAACAGUUGGAAACGACUGCUAAUACCGCAUAAGCGCACGGUACCGCAUGGUACAGUGUGAAAAACUCCGGUGGUGUAAGAUGGGCCCGCGUCUGAUUAGGCAGUUGGCGGGGUAACGGCCCACCAAACCGACGAUCAGUAGCCGACCUGAGAGGGUGACCGGCCACAUUGGGACUGAGACACGGCCCAAACUCCUACGGGAGGCAGCAGUGGGGAAUAUUGCACAAUGGGGGAAACCCUGAUGCAGCGACGCCGCGUGAGUGAAGAAGUAUUUCGGUAUGUAAAGCUCUAUCAGCAGGGAAGAAGAUGACGGUACCUGCAUAAGAAGCCCCGGCUAACUACGUGCCAGCAGCCGCGGUAAUACGUAGGGGGCAAGCGUUAUCCGGAUUUACUGGGUGUAAAGGGAGCGCAGACGGUUAGGUAAGUCUGAUGUGAAAGACCGGGGCUCAACCCCGGGCCUGCAUUGGAAACUGUUUAACUUGAGUGCCGGAGAGGUAAGCGGAAUUCCUAGUGUAGCGGUGAAAUGCGUAGAUAUUAGGAGGAACACCAGUGGCGAAGGCGGCUUACUGGACGGUAACUGACGUUGAGGCUCGAAAGCGUAGGGAGCAAACAGGAUUAGAUACCCUGGUAGUCCACGCGGUAAACGAUGAAUACUAGGUGUCGGGAUCCAGAGGAUUUCGGUGCCGCAGCAAACGCAAUAAGUAUUCCACCUGGGGAGUACGUUCGCAAGAAUGAAACUCAAAGGAAUUGACGGGGACCCGCACAAGCGGUGGAGCAUGUGGUUUAAUUCGAAGCAACGCGAAGAACCUUACCAAGUCUUGACAUCCCCCUGACGUAAGGGUAAUGCCUUAUUUCCUUCGGGACAGGGGAGACAGGUGGUGCAUGGUUGUCGUCAGCUCGUGUCGUGAGAUGUUGGGUUAAGUCCCGCAACGAGCGCAACCCUUAUCCCCAGUAGCCAGCGGUCAGGCCGGGCACUCUGAGGAGACUGCCAGGGACAACCUGGAGGAAGGUGGGGAUGACGUCAAAUCAUCAUGCCCCUUAUGUCCUGGGCUACACACGUGUUACAAUGGCCGGUACAGCGAGCAGCCAACUUGCGAAAGUGAGCAAAUCUCUAAAAACCGGUCUCAGUUCGGAUUGCACUCUGCAACUCGAGUGCAUGAAGUCGGAAUCGCUAGUAAACGCAGAUCAGCACGCUGCGUUGAAUACGUUCCCGG